rnacentral:rRNA from 1 species
UGUAGUCUCGCACAGAUGCAUAUCAAUAAGCGGAGGAAAAGAAACUAACAAGGAUUCCCCUAGUAACGGCGAGUGAAGCGGGAAGAGCUCAAAUUUGAAAUCUUAAAGGGUUUCCCUUUACGAAUUGCUAGUUUAAAGAAGUGUUUUCUGUUGAGGUUUUGGUAAAAGUUCUUUGGAAUAGGACAUCAUAGAGGGUGAGAAUCCCGUAUUUGACCUUUACUUUCAACUUUGUGAUACACUUUCAAAGAGUCGGAUUGUUUGGGAAUGCAGUCCAAAAUGGGUGGUAAAUUUCAUCUAAAGCUAAAUAUUGGCGAGAGACCGAUAGCGAACAAGUACCGUGAGGGAAAGAUGAAAAGAACUUUGAAAAGAGAGUUAAACAGUACGUGAAAUUGUCAAAAGGGAAGCGUUUGACACCAGUGUUGUUUUUCUGAAAAUCAAUUAAAGAACUGUUUAUGCUAAGUUGUUUAGACUUUAUCAGCUAACUGUUUAGUUUUGAGCUUUUCUUUAAUGCACUUUUCAGUUAACAAGUCAACAUCAAUUUCUUUUGCUGUAAAAAAGCUUGAGGAAGGUGGCUUGAGAUUCGUCUUAAGUGUUUAUAGCCUCUUGCCUAUGCAGUCGGAGAGAUUGAGGUCUGCAGCGUAGAUCCUUCGGGGCUAAAUGCAUUUGUGCUAAGUUAUAGCAUUUUAUAGACAACUUGUUGACUAUGAUUUGUCUUGUAGCUUACUCGCUUAUGUUAUUUUACCUACGCUUAGGAUGUUGAUCUGUAGUGCGUGCGC